GAUGAACGCUGGCGGCAUGCCUAAUACAUGCAAGUCGAACGAGAGGAAGGAAAGCUUGCUUUUCUGAAUCUAGUGGCGAACGGGUGAGUAACACGUAGGUAACCUGCCCAUGUGCCCGGGAUAACUUCUGGAAACGGAUGCUAAAACCGGAUAGGUAGCAGACAAGCAUUUGACUGCUAUUAAAGUGGCUAAGGCCAUGAACAUGGAUGGACCUGCGGUGCAUUAGCUAGUUGGUGAGGUAACGGCCCACCAAGGCGACGAUGCAUAGCCGGCCUGAGAGGGCGGACGGCCACAUUGGGACUGAGACACGGCCCAAACUCCUACGGGAGGCAGCAGUAGGGAAUUUUCGUCAAUGGGGGGAACCCUGAACGAGCAAUGCCGCGUGAGUGAGGAAGGUCUUCGGAUCGUAAAGCUCUGUUGUAAGAGAAAAACGACAUUCAUAGGGAAUGAUGAGUGAGUGAUGGUAUCUUACCAGAAAGUCACGGCUAACUACGUGCCAGCAGCCGCCGCAGUAA
rnacentral:rRNA from 1 species